UGGGAAAAGAAGAAGCACCCGCUUCUCACCUGAUUUGACGCAGUAUGCAGUUGGCAGGUUUUUUGUGAACUUAUUGUUUCUUAUAACUAUGUUCGUAAAGUGUGGGUGUUUUUCAUCCGCACUUUUUUAUUUGC
rfam:Bacillus sp. X1(2014), complete genome.